AUACUUACCUGGCGUAGAGAUAACCGUGAUCAACAAGGCGGUUUCUCCAGGGCGAGGCCUGUCCAUUGCACUACGGACGGGUUGACGCUUGCGAAUAUCCCUAAUGUAGAUAUCUCGGACGUAUUAUUUUUUAUAGCCAAGUGGUAUAUCCACAUU
rnacentral:snRNA from 1 species